rnacentral:rRNA from 1 species
UACAGAGGUGGCAAGCGUUGUUCGGAAUUACUGGGCGUAAAGGGCGAGUAGGCGGCCUUCUAAGUCAGACGUGAAAUCCCCCGGCUUAACCUGGGAACUGCGUCUGAUACUGGGAGGCUUGAGUAUGGGAGAGGGAUGUAGAAUUCCAGGUGUAGCGGUGAAAUGCGUAGAUAUCUGGAGGAACACCGGUGGCGAAGGCGGCAUCCUGGACCGGCAUUGACGCUGAGGCGCGAAAGCCAGGGGAGCAAACGGG